rnacentral:rRNA from 1 species
UACGUAGGUGGCAAGCGUUGUCCGGAAUUACUGGGCGUAAAGCGUGCGCAGGCGGUUUUGUAAGUCUGUCGUGAAAGCCCCGGGCUUAACCUGGGAAUUGCGAUGGAGACUGCAAGGCUUGAAUCUGGCAGAGGGGGGUAGAAUUCCACGUGUAGCAGUGAAAUGCGUAGAGAUGUGGAGGAACACCGAUGGCGAAGGCAGCCCCCUGGGCCAAUACUGACGCUCAUGCACGAAAGCGUGGGGAGCAAACAGG